NACGUGGGCCCUGGGAUUGGGACAUGUGUCCCGGGAUGGGACAUGUGUCCUGGAAUGGGCUGUGUGUCCUGGGAUUGGGACAUGUGUCCCGGGAUGGGACAUGUGUCCUGGGAUGGGCUGUGUGUCCCGGGACUGGGACGCAUGACCUGGGAUGGGUCAUGUGUCCUGGGAUGGGGCCAUGUGUCCUGGGAUUGGGACGUGGGCCCUGGGAUUGGGACACGUGUCCCGAGAUGGGAUAUGUGUCCUGGGAUUGGGACGUGGGUCCUGGGAUUGGGACAUGUGUCCCAGGAUGGAAUGUGUGUCCUGGGAUUGGGACGCAUGUCCCAGGAUGGGAUGUGUAUCCUGAGAUGGGCUGUGUGUCCUGGGACAGGACCACGUGUCCUGGGAUGGGGCCACGUGUCCCGGGAUGGCCUGUGUCCCAGGAUGACCUGUGUCCCAGGAUGGGACAUGUGUGCUGGGAUGUGACCUGUGUCCCAGAACAGGCCCUGCUGUGCAGACUGGGACAGAGCCAGUACCUGGGCCGGCGGCCGCACCGCAGCAGGCAGCCCUCCCCUCCUGCCAUGUGCCAGCAGCGCCGGCAGCCCCAGCUCUGCCUGCCGCCCGGGGGGCCAGGUGCUGCUGUGGGGCUUUGCCCCCACCAUGGGGCUGAAACGGGGCCCUGGGCUGGCCAUGGGCAGGGCAGCUGCCUCCAUCCCCCCUGCAGGGUCCCUGGGGCCAGCCCCCCAGGGACAGCUGUGCUGGGGCCCUGGAGGCACUACCAGCCCUAAACAGCCUGACUGGCCUCACCUGCCCCCACCCCCUCACCCCAUGGGGCCAGGGCACUAUUUAAGCUCAGCCCUGGUGUAUUAGUAAGGGUGCUGGUCUCCAUUUGCAGCUCUGCUCGGCCUGGCCAUGGACCCACUGAUCCAGACCCCAACCACCGGCUUCCCAGCUUGACGUCAGACCUGCCUCAUCACUGUGGAUGUGCCAGUUGAUCUGGACUCUUGGUAAACCCAGCCACCACCCCAAGCCUGCCUUGCUUGCAGGCUGACUACUCUAUUA
rnacentral:lncRNA from 1 species